CACACACACACACAGACACAGACACAGACACAGACACAGACACAGACACAGACACACACACACACACACACACACACACACACACACACACACACACACACACAGACACACACACACACACACACACACACACACACACACACACACACACACACACACACACACACACACACACACACACACACACACAAGCAAAAUGCUCACACAUCCCUCCCCUAAUUCUGGCCAGGCUGAUUUAAGUGUAUGUCCAACAUGUAGACAAGCACUCCUCCUCCUCCUCUUCCUCCUCCAUCCAUCAUAGUUGACAGAAUAAACAUGAGCUCAACUUUUGACCUCCACAGUAAGUUUCUCUCUCUCUCUGUAUGGUGGUGUCAGUGCUGAGCUGUGUGUGGACUGUUGACCUCCACAGUAAGUUUCUCUCUCUCUCUGUAAGGUGGUGUCAGUGCUGAGCUGUGUGUGGACUGUUGACCUCCACAGUAAGUUUCUCUCUCUCUCUGUAAGGUGGUGUCAGUGCUGAGCUGUGUGUGGACUGUUGACCUCCACAGUAAGUUUCUCUCUCUCUCUGUAAGGUGGUGUCAGUGCUGAGCUGUGUGUGGACUGUUGACCUCCACAGUAAGUUUCUCUCUCUCUGUAAGGUGGUGUCAGUGCUGAGCUGUGUGUGGACUGUUGACCUCCACAGUAAGUUUCUCUCUCUCUCUGUAAGGUGGUGUCAGUGCUGAGCUGUGUGUGGACUGUUGACCUCCACAGUAAGUUUCUCUCUCUCUGUAUGGUG